GGGCUUGUAUGGAUUUGACGGCAAGUCGAAAUGGUAUGUAAGCAUGCGGAGCUUCGGUGGCUGGCUCCUAAAUCUCAGUUAUCAAAGAAUUAAUUGGCGAAAAUAAUUACGCUCUCGCUGCUUAAUCGAAGUAUAGUAGAUUAUUAGCUUUAUUCCGUCAUUAGAUGAUGGAACGAGACACUGCUCCAAGGAUGUUGUUCCGAAUCUGAGGGUCAAGCGGUGCAGGUAAAUCGGAAAUAGCCCGUGUACGCCUCGAUGCAUAGGUGAAAUUUAGAGGAUAAGGUCACAGUUGGUGGUUCAGGUCUUGCUGUGGCACGAAAACCGAAGGCUGAAAUAAGCAUGUAGAAAACGUAUGGUUUCCUUGUGCGGACCGGAGUUCGAAUCUCCGCAAGUCCACUA
rnacentral:tmRNA from 1 species